CUCUCUUCGCACGAGCGGAUCCUCUCUCCGGUAGCCUCACACGCGCUAGGGUUCCUGCGCCGCCGCGAGCUCGUUGACCAGCCCAACGUCCUGCUGCUCCGCGCCUCGCUUCCCUCGUCGCUCGCCUUCGGACUCCUCGCUAGCCUCUGGCGAUCCAUCGCUUGUCUGCAAGCCAAGCCGCCGCCUCUCCGCCAAGAAAGAGGGCUCCCGAUCUUUGUCGUGGUCGACCAACAGCCCAUCGUGCCUGCUCCGUCGCCUUGUCACGCGUGCCGUCUGCCCCGCUGCCUCGCCACCUGCUCUGUCGCCUCGCCGCCUGCUUCGCCGCCUUGCCACGCGCCGGCCGCCUUCUCCCCCUCGUCUCACCGCUUCUCUCCGUCCGCACUAGGAGAUCAAGAGGGAAGGGAUCCCCUUUUCUGCAAAGCCCGUGCCUUGUCGGCUUCGGCGGCGGCGCUUGAUGACCCGCUCCUAGUCCUCGAGCACCUCCUCCAGACCUCGAGCUCCGGCGGCGGUGGCAUGGGAAAGACAAAAAGGGCAUGGGAAAGACGAAGACUUGCUCCACACACAUGCCACUGCCCCGUGCUUGUCUUGCUCCUUGAGUUUGCGGGCUGAUGAUGGAGGAUCUGCACUCUUCGCUCCACUAGCGCCGCCGCUGCCGCUUCUGCUUCUGCUCCCCGCUCGCCCACGGCGCCGCAAUUGGAGGAGGAAUGGAGUAUUGCAGAGGAUUGGAUGCUGCUUCCGUUGGUGCAGACUGCAAAUGUAGCCGGUGCACUCCGGGAGGCGAAGAAUAAACUUGAGAAGAAGUUGGAUGAUCUUACUUUGUAAGACUUACUCUCGAAAGGAGAAUGCGGGCCCCUAGCAGCGUACAUGGUCGGGACAUGCGCUGGCAGGAUGGAUAGAUGAUGUUUUGGUGGCAGUGGCGAGCUGCUGGGGUCGCGGUUCCUCAACCAGGAGGAGAUGCGCAAUUUGGAGCUGGCCCGAAGGAGAAAGAUGAUGGUUGGUCCAGCCAACGACGGCCUCCUAAACAAACUUAUUUGUCUAGCCACGACAAUGGGAGCUUGAAAGCGAGCCAUACGUGAAUUGCAUGUGUGCAAGCUCGGUGGCAAUCGCAAGACCCCCACCUCGAGUGUUCCCAUCCACCUACAGCGGCUUCAUACAGUGCAAUACUAUAGGUGAGCGCUCUUAACAGGCUCCAGAUUGCCACAUUUCUCGAAGAAAUCCACCAGCUUAAAAAUCUUGCUGCUGGUAUGCAUCCACCACCUGAUCCUUAAUCUAAAUUUGAGAAGAAAUUGAUGUAACAUCUGCUCUUAUGUUCUUUGUAACUCCCGAAUUGGAACCCGAUGGCAAGUCUUUUUGAAUGAAUGAACAGAGCAACUAUGUCUUAGCAUAUUUUUCCAGAAUACUUAUAUUUUUUUAGCUUCAUGCUAUUUAGUGCAACCUUUGCUAUAUUCAGUUUGUCCACCUUUAAUGCAUUUGUUUAUGUGACAUGUAACAUCUGCUCUUAUGUUCUUUUUGAAAGGAAUGGAACCCCCUACAUCGAUGUUUGUUUUUUGAAAGAAUAAGAACCAAGAUGAGCUAGGCUCACUCCCUCACAAUGAAGAUUUUCGUUCAUUUCUCUUUAUCUUGCAUAACAAAUAAUAUUUACAGUUUUAUCUAAGACUUUUUUAGCCCGAGCACUGAACAUGGUCAUAUGCAAGUUGUCUGGAAAUUCUGGCGAAUGCAUUGACUUUGGCCUCACACGGGGCAAGACAUGAACAUGAUGCCUGAUAGUUAUCGUCGCUGCACCUUUGGAACUAUUUUUUUCUUGCAAUAUCCUUCA